UACGUAGGGUCCGAGCGUUGUUCGGAAUUACUGGGCGUAAAGCGCACGUAGGCGGACCAGCAAGUUGGGGGUGAAAUCCCGGGGCUCAACCCCGGAACUGCCUUCAAAACUGCGGGUCUGGAGGUCGAGAGAGGUGAGUGGAAUUCCGAGUGUAGAGGUGAAAUUCGUAGAUAUUCGGAGGAACACCAGUGGCGAAGGCGGCUCACUGGCUCGAACCUGACGCUGAGGUGCGAAAGCGCGGGGAGCAAACAGG
rnacentral:rRNA from 1 species